rnacentral:rRNA from 1 species
GAUGAACGCUGGCGGCGUGCCUAACACAUGCAAGUCGAGCGGUAAGGCCCUUCGGGGUACACGAGCGGCGAACGGCUGAGUAACGCGUGGGAAUCCACCCCAGAGUGAGGGAUAAGCAUCGGAAACGGUGUCUAAUACCGCAUACGCUCUUAGGAGUAAAGCUUUAUGCGCUUUGGGAGGAGCCCGCGUCCGAUUAGGUAGUUGGUGAGGUAAUGGCUCACCAAGCCGACGAUCGGUAGCUGGUCUGAGAGGAUGAUCAGCCAGACUGGAACUGAGACACGGUCCAGACUCCUACGGGAGGCAGCAGUGAGGAAUCUUCCACAAUGGGCGAAAGCCUGAUGGAGCAACGCCGCGUGCGGGAUGAAUGCCUUCGGGUUGUAAACCGCUUUUGUUAGCGAAGAAUUUGACGGUAACUAACGAAUAAGCAUCGGCUAACUCCGUGCCAGCAGCCGCAGUAA